CCCUGAGCUGCAUGGAGGACAAGCAACAACAGUGUGACUGUGUUUGCCAAGAGAAAUUUGAGCAUAGCUCAUUGUAAGAAGAUCUGGAACUAGAGUCGAAUGCAGAAUAAAACCUUUCUGAUCUACCAGCUAUCCUUUCCUGCAUUUUGAACCCAUUGUUGACUACUGUAUUAUCCCCUACACAUCUGUCUCCUUCACUCAGAUGAAAACUCUUUUGAUGCCUGGGAACCCCCACAGGAACGCCAGGUUGAAAAGUUGGGGAUAGCCUAGCAAGCCAGCCGCUAUGUCAUGAAGACACUCAAGUAACACUAUGAAGAAGACCAUGUGAAGAAGGACUAAAUUCUCUGCUUAACAACCCAUGAGAGAACUUGGAAGAGGACCUUUUAGGCCCAUGCAAGUCUUCAUAUGACUAACCCAGCUAACAUCUUGACUGCAACCUAAUGAGAGAUCCUGAGCCAGAAUCACCCAGAUAAGCCACUCUUAAAUUCCUGGAUCACAGAAACUGUGAGAUAAUAAAUGCUUGCUGUUCUAAGCCACUAGAUUUUGGGGGUAAUUGUUAUUUGGCAAUAUAUAACUAUACAUUCAAUGAGGAACUUCUGAAGAUCUGUGGAGAAGACACAUCAGAAGUUUUCCUGGAGAGAAACAGAGAAAUUGUCCAUCGACUUUUAUCCCCCAUUGUCCUCAGGGCAUUAACAUAUUCAUAGUCUGGACUGACUUAUGAGUGGCUAACGGGUGUGUGCAAUCAGUAAGAUCCCUCAGCUUCCAAAAAAAAGGCGUAAAGCAUAAACGUGGAGGUUGUUGAGGUGAGUAAAUGUGUUUAGGAACUGCCCAGCACAGAUGGGAUGGGAUAAAAGCAACAAAAGCAUCUGUUAACAAAUGCCACAUAUGGAGCCCAACCUACUUUCUAUGUU